CUGUAAGCUCCAGGCUGGGCAUUUAUAACAAUCUGCUUUUGCAAGCAGCUGGCUCUCCUCCAAGUAGUUCCCUCCUCCUCCCUGCUGACUGAAAAAAAAAUCAGUUGAUGUAUCUUGAAAGGGACACGGUUAAGCUCUCAAGACUGUUCUGCCAAAGCACAGAGGAAUCAGCUCUACACAGAAUAGCACCAGGAUCAGCGAGACGCAAAGGAAGGGCAGAUCACACUUUGUUUAUCUUUAAGCCUUCACUACUCUACAAUACUUUGAGCAUAAAAAUCUCAUAUAUCCGAAAUGAGAUCCAGGCCAUUACCCUAUUUUACAACACCAACUUGGAUUCUUCUUAACGUAUUGUGAUAUGUCUAGGGGAGAAUGACUAAAGUCUAGAGUAAAAAUGAUGAAACAUCACAGAUAUUUGAUGGCAACCAAAGUAAUUUAAAAUUAUGAAGGACCCAUUACAUUCUUUUAUUGCCUGCCACUAACCCUUCCUCGUAAGUGUGUCCCUUUUGUAGACCCAAGUCCCUAAUUUUAUUAGAUGAUGUGACUUCUGAAUUAAUGGAUGUCCCCCUCUGGUACCCUUUCCCACUAUCUGGCUGCUGAGCAUGAUCCACAUAGUCAAAUGCUGGGGACCUUUAUUUAAUUAUCUGUUUACUCUCUGUCCCAAACUUUCUAGUAUUGCCAACACUCUCUUUGUUUACUAAGCCCCUAACC